rnacentral:rRNA from 1 species
GUUUUUGAAUGAGUAAUAACGAGGAUAAAGUGU